rnacentral:lncRNA from 1 species
AUUGCAUAGAACAAUUUCUUUUUAGAUUUAUUAUAAUGUUACAAAGCAGUAUAACUUUCAAAUUUCUUCCAAUUAUGAAAAUUAUUAUUAAGAGAUCUCUUAAUAAUAACUUUAGACAUGCAACCUUUAGUCAUCUAACAAGGCGUAAACUCAGCUGUAUGACGUACAGGAACAUGUCUAUUAAUAGAAUUGCUAAUAUAUAUGAAGAGAUUAUCAUAAAACUGAUCAAGAUUAAUGUGAGAACAAUACAAUAAUUCCCAAGGAUAUGAUAACAUGUCAAAGGCUAAUAAAACCCAAUUAGCUUGUUUCGAG